rnacentral:rRNA from 1 species
AAAGAAACCAACAGGGAUUGCCUCAGUAACGGCGAGUGAAGCGGCAAGAGCUCAAAUUUGAAAGCUGGCCCCCUCGGGGUCCGCGUUGUAAUUUGCAGAGGAUGCUUCGGGUGCAGCCCCCGUCUAAGUGCCCUGGAACGGGCCGUCAUAGAGGGUGAGAAUCCCGUCUGGGACGGGGUGUCUGCGUCCGUGUGAAGCUCCUUCGACGAGUCGAGUUGUUUGGGAAUGCAGCUCUAAAUGGGUGGUAAAUUUCAUCUAAAGCUAAAUACUGGCCGGAGACCGAUAGCGCACAAGUAGAGUGAUCGAAAGAUGAAAAGCACUUUGAAAAGAGAGUUAAACAGCACGUGAAAUUGUUGAAAGGGAAGCGUUUGCGACCAGACUCGCCCGCGGGGUUCAGCCGGCAUUCGUGCCGGUGUACUUCCCCGUGGGCGGGCCAGCGUCGGUUUGGGCGGCCGGUCAAAGGCCCUCGGAAUGUAUCACCUCUCGGGGUGUCUUAUAGCCGAGGGUGCAAUGCGGCCUGCCCGGACCGAGGAACGCGCUUCGGCUCGGACGCUGGCGUAAUGGUCGCAAAUGAC